AACCGGAUUAGAUACCCUGGUAGUCCAUGCCGUAAACGAUGAGUGCUAGGUGUUGGAGGGUUUCCGCCCUUCAGUGCCGCAGCUAACGCAUUAAGCACUCCGCCUGGGGAGUACGACCGCAAGGUUGAAACUCAAAGGAAUUGACGGGGGCCCGCACAAGCGGUGGAGCAUGUGGUUUAAUUCGAAGCUACGCGAAGAACCUUACCAGGUCUUGACAUCUUACGCUAACCUCAGAGAUGAGGCGUUCCCUUCGGGGACGCAAUGACAGGUGGUGCAUGGUCGUCGUCAGCUCGUGUCGUGAGAUGUUGGGUUAAGUCCCGCAACGAGCGCAACCCUUGUUACGAGUUGCCAGCAUUCAGUUGGGCACUCUAGUGAGACUGCCGGUGACAAACCGGAGGAAGGUGGGGACGACGUCAGAUCAUCAUGCCCCUUAUGACCUGGGCUACACACGUGCUACAAUGGGCGAUACAACGAGCUGCAAACCCGCGAGGGUAAGCUAAUCUCUUAAAAUCGUUCUCAGUUCGGACUGUAGUCUGCAACCCGACUACACGAAGUCGGAAUCGCUAGUAAUCGCGGAUCAGUAUGCCGCGGUGAAUACGUUCCCGGGCCUUGUACACACCGCCCGUCACACCAUGGAAGUUUGCAAUGCCCAAAGCCGGUGGCCGAACCUUCGGGACGGAGCCGUCUAAGGCAGGGCAGAUGACUGGGGGUGAAGUCGUAACAAGGUAACC
rnacentral:rRNA from 1 species